GGAGUUUUGGCUCAGUGGUAGAGCACUUGCCUAGCAACCGCAAAGCCCUGGGUUCGGUCCCCAGCUCCG
rnacentral:tRNA from 1 species